AUUUUUUUAAACAAUGCGUAGAUAGAGAUAGUACAAUAGGGAUCAGUGCUCUGGGGCCUGGGCUCAGGAUUCAUGGUAUACGGUGCCGCUCUGCAGUUGGGGGAGACCGGGCUCACCCUAGUGUUGCCGUGACUCUGCCUCCGCAUGACGUCACGGCAACGUGCGCAAGUAAAAGGCAGGGGAGGUCGGGAGUGACGGGAGGAGAUCUGGAGGAGGAGCGAGUAAGUCCUUCGACUCCUUCACUAUGCGAUGAUGUCGCUCGCAUAGUGAAGGACUCGGGAGGCAAAAAAAAU